rnacentral:lncRNA from 1 species
ACACAACGAGAAGGGGCGGGGCCGAAGCCGGUUGCCAGGGUGUCGCGGAGCGGCUGGGAAGGAGGGGCUGGGAAUCUUGGAGCCCCUUGGCCCGCGGGGAAAGCGGGUGACCCGCCCUGCAAGUGGGAUGCCCCCUUCGGCCUUCUGGAGCGCAGGUGGGGGCGCGCGCCCAUCGGGGGCUCGCACUGCACGGAGGGUCGCGGUGCCGGGGAGCUGAGGUUGGAGGAUGCAGGGCGGCGGCCCUGGUGCACCGUGGGGGAGUUCGCACGCCGGGCAGCGAUCUUCUGCCGGGACCUGGCGUUCUUCACACACGGCUUAUUCGUGACGGAUCCACAGAGCAAUGCACUCUGAAGCCGGAGGGUAGAAAGUGCUGGAAUGCGCGCCCGGGCCCAGGCUGUCGCGAGCCUUCAGCAAGCCAGUGCACACAGAGAGGGCUGCCCAGAGAUCCCGGUCAGCGCUCGCAGUUCGAGGUGGAACAUGUGUGUGCCCUGCGCUAGCCCCAGCUCCCGGAGGGAGGCUGUCUCCCCGGCAAGGGUGCCCACUGCAAGCACAGGCGUGAGAAAUGGCCCAGAAAAGAGUGGUCAGGGCAAUGUGUUCUUGGCACGCCCAGCAAGACCUGCCAGAGGGACCUACAGACGAGUGUCUCCCAGCUAUCUUACCAGCGGGGACCUUGAGGUCCAAGUAUCCAGUCCGGUUAGAAAUGGCCGCGGAUCCAACAGGUGCUGGUGAGUGGGAGAAUACCCCUGAGGGAGGAAGAACAGAGGCCGGGAGGGAGCUGAGUGGAUGUAGAUGAGAAAUACCUGGACAGCUGCAAGCUGUAGUCAGUGAUGGGCAACUGGAACCAGAGAUUCCAGAGAGAGGGAGGGAGAAAGAGGGAGGAGAAGGGAGAAUGA